rnacentral:misc_RNA from 1 species
GUUGUAGUUCCAAUCUGGUU